AAAAAAAGCCACUAAGCUUCAGCUACAUACGACCGUACCGCAAACCGACACUGGUGCGCGAGAUGAGUAUUCUAAGGCGCUUGAGAGAACUCUGGAGAAGGAACUCGGCAAAUUGACACCGUAACUUCGGAAGAAGGUGUGCCUUUAGUAGGUGAUCCAUUUACUUGGUGAGCUCAACAAGGCCGCAGAGAAUCGGUGGCUGCAACUGUUUAUUAAAAACACAGCACUCUGCAAAGACGAAAGUCGACGUAUAGGGUGUGACUCCUGCCCGGUGCUGGAAGAUUAAAUGAUGGGGUGCAAGCUCUUGACUGAAGUCCCAGUAAACGGCGGCCGUAACAAUAACGGUCCUAAGGUAGCGAAAUUCCUUGUCGGGUAAGUUCCGACCUGCACGAAUGGAGUAAUGAUGGCCACACUGUCUCCUCCAGAGACUCAGCGAAGUUGAAAUGUUUGUGAUGAUGCAAUCUCCCCGCGGAAAGACGGAAAGACCCCAUGAACCUUUACUGUAGCUUUACAUUGGACUUUGAACAGAUCUGUGUAGGAUAGGUGGGAGGCUUUGAAGCGGUGCCGCUAGGUGUCGUGGAGCCAACGUUGAAAUACCACCCUGGUGUGUUUGAGGUUCUAACCUUGGCCCGUUAUCCGGGUUGGGGACAGUGUAUGGUGGGCAGUUUGACUGGGGCGGUCUCCUCCCAAAGCGUAACGGAGGAGUUCGAAGGUACGCUAGGCACGGUCGGAAAUCGUGCUGAUAGUGCAUUGGCAUAAGCGUGCUUGACUGCGAGACUGACAAGUCGAGCAGGUACGAAAGUAGGACAAAGUGAUCCGGUGGUUCUGUAUGGAAGGGCCAUCGCUCAACGGAUAAAAGGUACUCUGGGGAUAACAGGCUGAUACCGCCCAAGAGUUCAUAUCGACGGCGGUGUUUGGCACCUCGAUGUCGGCUCAUCUCAUCCUGGGGCUGUAGCCGGUCCCAAGGGUAUGGCUGUUCGCCAUUUAAAGAGGUACGUGAGCUGGGUUUAAAACGUCGUGAGACAGUUUGGUCCCUAUCUUCCGUGGGCGCUGCAAGAUUGAGAGAGCCUGCUCCUAGUACGAGAGGACCGGAGUGGACGCACCUCUGGUGUAUCGGUUGUCACGCCAGUGGCAUCGCCGAGUAGCUAUGUGCGGAAGAGAUAACCGCUGAAAGCAUCUAAGCGGGAAACUCGUCUCAAGAUGAGUCUUGCCGGGGCCUUGAGCCCCCUGAAGAGUCGUUCGAGACCAGGACGUUGAUAGGCUGGGUGUGGAAGCGCAGUAAUGCGUUAAGCUAACCAGUACUAAUUGCUCGUGAGGCUUGACCCU
rnacentral:rRNA from 1 species